CACCUCUCAGGGUCGCAACCGGAGAGUUUCCAGUCCUCUACCGGGCUUGGCUACGGGAAGGAGAGUCAAGCAGAGGCCUGUCUAUUCCAUUCCUAGCUUGGCCAGUGGCUAGCGAGCGGAAGACCAUCUGCUACAUUU